UGGGGAAUUUUGGACAAUGGGCGCAAGCCUGAUCCAGCCAUGCCGCGUGUCUGAAGAAGGCCUUCGGGUUGUAAAGGACUUUUGUCAGGGAAGAAAAGGCUGUUGCUAAUAUCGACAGCUGAUGACGGUACCUGAAGAAUAAGCACCGGCUAACUACGUGCCAGCAGCCGCGGUAAUACGUAGGGUGCGAGCGUUAAUCGGAAUUACUGGGCGUAAAGCGAGCGCAGACGGUUACUUAAGCAGGAUGUGAAAUCCCCGGGCUCAACCUGGGAACUGCGUCCUGAACUGGGUGACUAGAGUGUGUCAGAGGGAGGUAGAAUUCCACGUGUAGCAGUGAAAUGCGUAGAGAUGUGGAGGAAUACCGAUGGCGAAGGCAGCCUCCUGGGAUAACACUGACGUUCAUGCUCGAAAGCGUGGGUAGCAAACAGGAUUAGAUACCCUGGUAGUCCACGCCCUAAACGAUGUCAAUUAGCUGUUGGGCAACUUGAUUGCUUAGUAGCGUAGCUAACGCGUGAAAUUGACCGCCUGGGGAGUACGGUCGCAAGAUUA
rnacentral:rRNA from 1 species